rnacentral:rRNA from 1 species
UUGAUCCUGGCUCAGAUUGAACGCUGGCGGCAUGCCUUACACAUGCAAGUCGAACGGCAGCAUGAUCUAGCUUGCUAGAUUGAUGGCGAGUGGCGAACGGGUGAGUAAUACAUCGGAACGUGCCCUGUAGUGGGGGAUAACUAGUCGAAAGAUUAGCUAAUACCGCAUACGACCUGAGGGUGAAAGUGGGGGACCGCAAGGCCUCAUGCUAUAGGAGCGGCCGAUGUCUGAUUAGCUAGUUGGUGGGGUAAAGGCCCACCAAGGCGACGAUCAGUAGCUGGUCUGAGAGGACGAUCAGCCACACUGGGACUGAGACACGGCCCAGACUCCUACGGGAGGCAGCAGAAGGG